GCGCCUGUAGCUCAACUGGAUAGAGCAACGGCCUUCUAAGCCGUAGGUUGCAGGUUCGAGUCCUGCCGGGCGUACCA
rnacentral:tRNA from 1 species